rnacentral:rRNA from 1 species
UGGGGAAUCUUGCGCAAUGGGCGAAAGCCUGACGCAGCCAUGCUGCGUGAAUGAUGAAGGUCUUAGGAUUGUAAAAUUCUUUCACCGGGGACGAUAAUGACGGUACCCGGAGAAGAAGCUCCGGCUAACUUCGUGCCAGCAGCCGCGGUAAUACGAAGGGGGCUAGCGUUGUUCGGAAUUACUGGGCGUAAAGGGCGCGUAGGCGGUCUGUCAAGUUAGGUGUGAAAGCCCUGGGCUCAACCCAGGAACUGCAUUUAAGACUGGCAGGCUAGAGAUCUAGAGGGGAUAGUGGAAUUCCAAGUGUAGAGGUGAAAUUCGUAGAUAUUUGGAGGAACACCAGUGGCGAAGGCGACUAUCUGGCUAGAAUCUGACGCUGAGGCGCGAUAGCGUGGGGAGCAAA